rnacentral:rRNA from 1 species
GAUGGCCCAAAACCAGUUUGACCGCGCGAACAUGUUUAUCCUACCAUGCGGGGGCAGCCGUGCGUGUCGCGGCUUCCCCUCCACUAACACAAACCCCGGCGCCUCGUGCGCCAAGGAAUCCGAAAUUGUUCAGUGUGCGGCCCCGGGGAGUUGGAGACAGCUUCCCGCGGGUGCCCGUCACAACAUGCGAAAGAGAAUGACUCUCGGCAAUGGAUAUCUCGGCUCUUGCAUCGAUGAAGAACGUAGCGAAAUGCGAUACUUGGUGUGAAUUGCAGAAUCCCGUGAACCAUCGAGUCUUUGAACGCAAGUUGCGCCCGAAGCCAUUAGGCCGAGGGCAUGCCUGCCUGGGUGUCACACACUGUUACCAACCCCCGCACGCCAAAGGUCUAACAAGCUGUUGGCGGGGGCGGGCGGUGGUGCACGUUGACCUCCCGCGAGCGGUGUCUCGUGGUUGGUUGAAAAUUGAGUUCGCGGUUGAGUGUGCCGUGAUAAAAAUGGUGGACGGGGCAGAUCCCCGAGACCAAUCACGCGCGAUCCUUUCCGUUGGACCCUUGGACCCUGCGGCGUCCUUGGACGC